rnacentral:tRNA from 1 species
GGUGAGGUGUCCGAGUGGCCGAAGGAGCACGCCUGGAAAGCGUGUAUACCGCAAGGUAUCGAGGGUUCGAAUCCCUCCCUCACCGCCA